rnacentral:misc_RNA from 1 species
GUAGGUGAACCUGCGGAAGGAUCAUUACCGUGGGGUUUCGGCCCCAUUGAGAUAGCACCCUUUGUUCAUGAGUACCCUUGUUUCCUCGGCGAGUUCGCUCGCCGGUGGACAUCAAAAAACCUUUGUAGUAGUAGUAUCUUCAGUAACAAAUAAAUAUUAAAACUUUCAACAACGGAUCUCUUGGUUCUG